UGAGGAAUAUUGGGCAAUGCCCGAAAGGGUGACCCAGCAACGCCGCGUGGAGGAUGAAGGUCGUAAGAUUGUAAACUCCUGUUAGAGGGGAAGAAUAACUAAGUUUGGAGCUUAGUAUGACUGUACCCUCAGAGAAAGCCCCGGCUAACUACGCGCCAGCAGCCGCGGUAAUACGUAGGGGGCAAGCGUUGUCCGGAUUUACUGGGUGUAAAGGGCGCGCAGGCGGAAUGGAAAGUCAGUGGUGAAAUCCUACAGCUUAACUGUAGAACUGCCUUUGAUACUUUCAUUCUUGAGUUCGGGAGAGAGAGACGGAAUUCCAGGUGUAGUGGUGAAAUACGUAGAUAUCUGGAAGAACACCAGUUGCGAAGGCGGUCUCUUGGUCCGAUACAGACGCUGAGGCGCGAAAGCGUGGGGAGCAAACA
rnacentral:rRNA from 1 species